rnacentral:rRNA from 1 species
UACCAGACUCCUACGGGAGGCAGCAGUGGGGAAUAUUGCACAAUGGGGGAAACCCUGAUGCAGCGACGCCGCGUGAGUGAAGAAGUAUCUCGGUACGUAAAGCUCUAUCAGCAGGGAAGAAAAUGACGGUACCUGACCAAGAAGCCCCGGCUAACUACGUGCCAGCAGCCGCGGUAAUACGUAGGGGGCAAGCGUUAUCCGGAUUUACUGGGUGUAAAGGGAGCGUAGACGGCAGCGCAAGUCUGGAGUGAAAUGCCGGGGCCCAACCCCGGAACUGCUUUGGAAACUGUGCAGCUCGAGUGCAGGAGAGGUAAGCGGAAUUCCUAGUGUAGCGGUGAAAUGCGUAGAUAUUAGGAGGAACACCAGUGGCGAAGGCGGCCUGCUGGACGACAACUGACGGUGCGGCGCGAAAGCGUGGGGAGCAACCAGGAUUAGAUACCCCAGUA